AUACGUAGGGGGCGAGCGUUGUCCGGAAUGAUUGGGCGUAAAGGGCGCGUAGGCGGCCCGGUAAGUCUGGAGUGAAAGUCCUGUUUUUAAGAUGGGAAUUGCUUUGGAUACUGUCGGGCUUGAGUGCAGGAGAGGUAAGUGGAAUUCCCAGUGUAGCGGUGAAAUGCGUAGAGAUUGGGAGGAACACCAGUGGCGAAGGCGACUUACUGGACUGUAACUGACGCUGAGGCGCGAAAGUGUGGGGAGCAAACAGGAUUAGAUACCCUGGUAGUCCAUACCGUAAACGAUGAAUGCUAGGUGUAGGGGGUAUCGACCCCUUCUGUGCCGCAGUCAACACAAUAAGCAUUCCGCCUGGGGAGUACGGCCGCAAGGUUGAAACUCAAAUGAAUUGACGGGG
rnacentral:rRNA from 1 species